AGAGUUUGAUCCUGGCUCAGAACGAACGCUGGCGGCGUGGAUUAGGCAUGCAAGUCGAACGGUAUCUUUCCGACGGAUCCUUCGGGUGAAGUUGGUUUGAGAGAGUGGCGAACGGGUGAGUAACACGUGGGCAACUUCCCCAAAGUUCGGGAUAGCCCGCCGAAAGGCGGGGUAAUACCGGAUGUGGUCGUACCGCGAUUGCGGAAUUGUCUAAAGGUGGGGAUUCUUCGGAACCUAUCGCUUUGGGAUGGGCCCGCGGCCUAUCAGCUUGUUGGUGAGGUAACGGCUCACCAAGGCAUAGACGGGUAGCUGGUCUGAGAGGAUGGUCAGCCACACUGGGACUGAGACACUGCCCAGACUCCUACGGGAGGCUGCAGCCGAGAAUCAUUCACAAUGCGCGAAAGCGUGAUGAUGCGACGCCGCGUGGAGGAUGACGGCCUUCGGGCUGUAAACUCCUGUCAUGAGGGAACAAGGAUGCCGGGGCCAUUACCCUUGGCAUUUGAUGGUACCUCAAGAGGAAGCCACGGCUAACUCUGUGCCAGCAGCCGCGGUAAUACAGAGGUGGCGAGCGUUGUUCGGAUUUACUGGGCGUAAAGGGUGCGUAGGCGGUUCUGUGUGUCAGAUGUGAAAUCUCACCGUCCAACGGUGAAACUGCAUUUGAAACUGCAGGACUAGAGUACAGGAGGGGAGAGCGGAAUUCUCGGUGUAGCGGUGAAAUGCGUAGAUAUCGAGAAGAACGCCGGUGGCGAAGGCGGCUCUCUGGACUGAUACUGACGCUGAGGCACGAAAGUUGGGGGAGCGAACAGGAUUAGAUACCCUGGUAGUCCCAACCGUAAACGGUGUGCACUUGGUGUGGGUGGGUUUGUCCCCAUCCGUGCCGGAGCUAACGCGUUAAGUGCACCGCCUGGGGAGUACGGUCGCAAGACUAAAACUCAAAGGAAUUGACGGGGGCCCGCACAAGCGGUGGAGCAUGUGGCUUAAUUCGAUGCAACGCGAAGAACCUUACCUGGGCUUGACAUCCAGCUGCUGUCCCGGUGAAAGUCGGGAGUCCUUCGAGGGUGCUGGACAGGUGCUGCAUGGCUGUCGUCAGCUCGUGCCGUGAGGUGUUGGGUUAAGUCCCGCAACGAGCGCAACCCCUGUGGUUAGUUGCCCCUUCAGUCGAAAGGCUGGAAGCACUCUAACCAGACUGCCUGUAAAAAGCAGGAGGAAGGUGGGGAUGACGUCAAGUCAGUAUGGUCCUUAUGCCCAGGGCUGCACACGUGCUACAAUGGGCGGUACAGAACGACGCGAAACCGCGAGGUGGAGCAAAUCGUCAAAGCCGUCCUCAGUUCGGAUUGGAGUCUGCAACUCGACUCCAUGAAGCCGGAAUCGCUAGUAAAGGCGUAUCAGCUACGACGCCUUGAAUACGUUCCCGGGCCUUGUACACACCGCCCGUCACAUCACGAAAGUCGACUGCACCCGAAGUCGCCGGGCCAAUCCGCUUGCGGAAGGCAGGUGCCGAAGGUGUGGUUGAUGAUUGGGGUGAAGUCGUAACAAGGUA
rnacentral:rRNA from 1 species